rnacentral:rRNA from 1 species
UACGGAGGGGGCUAGCGUUGCUCGGAAUCACUGGGCGUAAAGGGCGCGUAGGCGGACUUUUAAGUCAGGGGUGAAAUCCUGAGGCUCAACCUCAGAACUGCCUUUGAUACUGAGGGUCUCGAGACCGGUAGAGGUAAGUGGAACUGCGAGUGUAGAGGUGAAAUUCGUAGAUAUUCGCAAGAACACCAGUGGCGAAGGCGGCUCACUGGCCCGGUACUGACGCUGAGGUGCGAAAGCGUGGGGAGCAAACAGG